rnacentral:rRNA from 1 species
GACGAACGCUGGCGGCGUGCCUAAUACAUGCAAGUUGAGCGCUGAAGGUUGGUACUUGUACCGACUGGAUGAGCAGCGAACGGGUGAGUAACGCGUGGGGAAUCUGCCUUUGAGCGGGGGACAACAUUUGGAAACGAAUGCUAAUACCGCAUAAAAACUUUAAACACAAGUUUUAAGUUUGAAAGAUGCAAUUGCAUCACUCAAAGAUGAUCCCGCGUUGUAUUAGCUAGUUGGUGAGGUAAAGGCUCACCAAGGCGAUGAUACAUAGCCGACCCGAGAGGGUGAUCGGCCACAUUGGGACUGAGACACGGCCCAAACUCCUACGGGAGGCAGCAGUAGGGAAUCUUCGGCAAUGGACGAAAGUCUGACCGAGCAACGCCGCGUGAGUGAAGAAGGUUUUCGGAUCGUAAAACUCUGUUGGUAGGGAAGAACGUUGGUGAGAGUGGAAAGCUCAUCAAGUGACGGUAACUACCCAGAAAGGGACGGCUAACUACGUG